rnacentral:rRNA from 1 species
UACGUAGGCAGCAAGCGUUGUCCGGAGUUACUGGGCGUAAAGCGCACGCAGGCGGUCGCGUAAGAGUGCGGGGACAGUGGGCGGCUUAACUGCCCAAGGGUCGCACAGACUGCGUGACUGGAGGGCCAGAGAGGGACCUGGAAUUCCGGGUGGAGCGGUGAAAUGCGUAGAGAUCCGGAGGAACACCAAUGGCGAAGGCAGGGGUCCUGGCUGGCACCUGACGCUCAUGUGCGAAAGCCAGGGGAGCGAACGGG